rnacentral:rRNA from 1 species
UACAGAGGGUGCGAGCGUUAAUCGGAAUUACUGGGCGUAAAGGGCGCGUAGGCGGCACAGCAAGUCGGGAGUGAAAGCCCGGGGCUCAACCCCGGAACUGCUUUCGAAACUGCUGAGCUAGAGUACAGAAGGGGCAACCGGAAUUCCCAGUGUAGCGGUGAAAUGCGUAGAUAUUGGGAAGAACACCUGAGGCGAAGGCGGGUUGCUGGGCUGAUACUGACGCUGAGGCGCGAAAGCCAGGGGGAGCAAACGGGG